rnacentral:rRNA from 1 species
GGCCUGAGAGGGUGACCGGCCACACUGGGACUGAGACACGGCCCAGACUCCUACGGGAGGCAGCAGUGGGGAAUAUUGCACAAUGGGCGCAAGCCUGAUGCAGCGACGCCGCGUGAGGGAUGACGGCCUUCGGGUUGUAAACCUCUUUCAGUAGGGAAGAAGCGAAAGUGACGGUACCUGCAGAAGAAGCACCGGCUAACUACGUGCCAGCAGCCGCGGUAAUACGUAGGGUGCGAGCGUUAUCCGGAAUUAUUGGGCGUAAAGAGCUCGUAGGCGGUUUGUCGCGUCUGUCGUGAAAGUCCGGGGCUUAACUCCGGAUCUGCGGUGGGUACGGGCAGACUAGAGUGCAGUAGG